AACAUGUCCUUCAACUUGCUAAUUCUGCUACACCUGGAGCUGGAGGGGAGAAUUUAAUGGCUAUUGGUAAUUGAAGGGUCAUUUUAUAAACAUGACUAGUUAAGCUGGCAAGGUGUUCCAUCCUUUUUGGGAAAUUAUGGAGAUUGAUGCAAACUGUUCAAUUUUCUAGGCUCCA